rnacentral:rRNA from 1 species
AGUGAACGCUGGCGGUAGGCCUAACACAUGCAAGUCGAACGGCAGCACAGGAGAGCUUGCUCUCUGGGUGGCGAGUGGCGGACGGGUGAGGAAUACAUCGGAAUCUACCUUUUCGUGGGGGAUAACGUAGGGAAACUUACGCUAAUACCGCAUACGACCUACGGGUGAAAGUGGGGGACCGCAAGGCCUCACGCGAUUAGAUGAGCCGAUGUCCGAUUAGCUAGUUGGCGGGGUAAUGGCCCACCAAGGCGACGAUCGGUAGCUGGUCUGAGAGGAUGAGCAGCCACACUGGAACUGAGACACGGUCCAGACUCCUACGGGAGGCAGCAGUGGGGAAUAUUGGACAAUGGGCGCAAGCCUGAUCCAGCCAUACCGCGUGGGUGAAGAAGGCCUUCGGGUUGUAAAGCCCUUUUGUUGGGAAAGAAAUCCUAUCGGUUAAUAACCGGUGGGGAUGACGGUACCCAAAGAAUAAGCACCGGCUAACUACGUGCCAGCCGCCGCCGUAAAAC